AGAGAAAGUGGGAGGCAGGCCUAACACAUGCAAGUCGAACGGAUCCUUCGGGAUUAGUGGCGGACGGGUGAGUAACACGUGGGAACGUGCCCUUUGGUUCGGAACAACUCAGGGAAACUUGAGCUAAUACCGGAUGUGCCCUUCGGGGGAAAGAUUUAUCGCCAUUGGAGCGGCCCGCGUCUGAUUAGCUAGUUGGUGAGGUAACGGCCCACCAAGGCGACGAUCAGUAGCUGGUCUGAGAGGAUGAUCAGCCACACUGGGACUGAGACACGGCCCAGACUCCUACGGGAGGCAGCAGUGGGGAAUCUUGCGCAAUGGGCGAAAGCCUGACGCAGCCAUGCCGCGUGAAUGAUGAAGGUCUUAGGAUUGUAAAAUUCUUUCAGCGGGGACGAUAAUGACGGUACCCGCAGAAGAAGCUCCGGCUAACUUCGUG
rnacentral:rRNA from 1 species